ACGCUCGACACCUACGGGAGGCAGCAGUAGGAAUCUUCCACAAUGGACGCAAGUCUGAUGGAGCAACGCCGCGUGAGUGAAGAAGGUUUUCGGAUCGUAAAGCUCUGUUGUUGGUGAAGAAGGAUAGAGGUAGUAACUGGCCUUUAUUUGACGGUAUCAACCAGAAAGUCACGGCUAACUACGUGCCAACAGCCGCGGUAAUCUGAGCGGGCUGGCAAGGC
rnacentral:rRNA from 1 species